rnacentral:ncRNA from 2 species
UACGGAGGGUGCGAGCGUUGUCCGGAAUCACUGGGCGUAAAGGGCGCGUAGGCGGUCUGCUAAGCGUGCGGUGAAAGCCUGGGGCUCAACCCCAGGUCUGCCGUGCGAACUGGUGGACUCGAGCACUGUAGAGGCAGGUGGAAUUCCGGGUGUAGCGGUGGAAUGCGUAGAGAUCCGGAAGAACACCGGUGGCGAAGGCGGCCUGCUGGGCAGUAGCUGACGCUGAGGCGCGACAGCGUGGGGAGCAAACAGG